GACGAACGCUGGCGGCGUGCCUAAUACAUGCAAGUUGAGCGCCGAAGGUUGGUACUUGUACCGACUGGAUGAGCAGCGAACGGGUGAGUAACGCGUGGGGAAUCUGCCUUUGAGCGGGGGACAACAUUUGGAAACGAAUGCUAAUACCGCAUAAAAACUUUAAACACAAGUUUUAAGUUUGAAAGAUGCAAUUGCAUCACUCAAAGAUGAUCCCGCGUUGUAUUAGCUAGUUGGUGAGGUAAAGGCUCACCAAGGCGAUGAUACAUAGCCGACCUGAGAGGGGGAUCGGCCACAUUGGGACUGAGACACGGCCCAAACUCCUACGGGAGGCAGCAGUAGGGAAUCUUCGGCAAUGGACGAAAGUCUGACCGAGCAACGCCGCGUGAGUGAAGAAGGUUUUCGGAUCGUAAAACUCUGUUGGUAGAGAAGAACGUUGGUGAGAGUGGAAAGCUCAUCAAGUGACGGUAACUACCCAGAAAGGGACGGCUAACUACGUG
rnacentral:rRNA from 1 species